rnacentral:misc_RNA from 1 species
GCUACUACCGAUUGAAUGGUUUAGUGAGGACUCCUGAAUGGCGCCGCCGCCCCGGCAACGGAGCAGCGGACUGCCGAAAAGUUGUUCAAACUUGAUCAUUUAGAGGAAGUAAAAGUCGUAACAAGGUUUCCGUAGGUGAACCUGCAGAAGGAUCAAGAUCGGAGAGCGUCGGGUAGGGAAAGAGGUGAAAACUCGGGUGUCGGCGUAUCCUUAAAAAAAAAAACAAAAGUGACCACCUAAGUCAGAAACACAAACAGCAUUACGCAUGUCUUAACUC